rnacentral:lncRNA from 1 species
AGGGGACCCCGUGACGGGGGAGCAGGCUGCCCCCAGCCCCAAGGAGACACCUGCGGGAGAAACCCCAGACUCUCUGAGCAUCGAGACUGCUCUGUGGCCAAGGCCAUUUACAGCAGUAAAAGGGAUCGUUUUGCGCUGAUGCCUCGGAAUUACGCCCUGAAUCCGAAUCUCAGUGGCCCCACGGCAGGCAGAGAAAUGAUUUUCCUCGAAUGCGAAAUCUGGCUUUUAGGGAAGUUGGAGGUGGCCCCGGCUGCCCCUGGACCAGGAGCGGGAGCAGUCACACAGGUUUUUCUGGAGCCUGCCCCGCCCGCUGAAGCUGAGUCCGAGGCGCUGUGCCGCCUGGUGAGCGUCCCCACCGCGUGCACUCGUCCCCACCUCCGUCCUCUCCGCGAUGCUCCCAUCCCGUCUUUCCUGUGGGCCAUGCUCUCUGCUCCCAGGCCUUCCAGACGAUUCGGGAUGGCAGCCGUCUACUACACGGAGGCAAGGAGACCAAGAAGGCACCGCAUCGGGUCUGAGGCAGAGCUUCAGAUGGGGUCUACCUUUUCUGCUAGGAACGGCCGCCAGCAUUCCAGGGACAGACGCGCUGUGACCACCUCCUGCCCACCCCCACUUCCAGGCAGGAGCCUCACGCUCUGAUCGCAGGGGGCCCCUCAGGGCACGACGAGACUGUUUACCUGGCUGAAGGGCCUGACUUUUAGAAGUUGGUGAAACAAGAAGCCUUAAAGAAAGGACAUGCCAAAUGCUGGCUAAUGAAGCGGCAUUAAAAGGAUGGGAGCUUUGGGUGACCUUUCCAUCUUGCCAAAGAAAACACAGCCAUUUUUUGAGCCUUUUCAGCAUAAAAAGACAAUCUCUUAAAACGCCUGCUCAGCCACUCGCCUGUGAGGGGCAGGCUGGGAGAGCCGUCCUAAUUUGCCUGCCAUGCAUCAAAUUGAUUUAGCAGGCAACAAAUGUCAGGAGGAAUUAGAAAGGGAGUAACAGCUCAAAGAAAUUAACAAAAGGUUGACCAGCCUUCGGCAGUGUUACCGGGCUGACUUACAUAUUCACGGUGGUUCCUGGGGGUUUAUUUGCUUUUCAUCUCCAGCCUCUGCUGAUGACCAGAGCAGUUCUUUACAUUUGUGAAGCCUGAAGCACAGCUGAGGAGCUUCUCUGGGCAUUCACUUGUUUCAGGGCUGUGUGUGUGUCUGUGUGUGUGCUUUCAGGCCGGUUGCAAUGACCUUGCCUCCUCCUCCUUCCCCUCUUUAGGCCACUGUCAUGGUCAAAUACUUUUCGCAGUUUGGAGUCUUUCCCUGGACCACAAAACACUAUGCUGGCAUCAACAGGGAAAAGCCAUUCUCUCUGCCAAACAUCAUUGGGCUUGAGAAGCAGGACGGCUCCAUGCUGGGGAACCGCCUACAGCUCCUGGCUCUGUUCUUUCAUGGCUCCACCAUGAAGGAGCGUGGGCCCCUGAGAAGAGGGCUGUGACCUUGGGCUCAGUCCUCCACGAGCUCUCAUGUGACAGCAAUUCAUGGGAGAGGGGGCCUGGCCAAGCUAGCCGGCUUUAUGGGCAAGUUGGGGGGCUAGGUGGAAACUUCUGGCACCUGCCUUCUUCCUUCAGGGCGGGGCUGUGGAACCAGCCACCGGAUGACCAGACUCAUGGCAAGGAGAAGAAAUGGAGCAGGAGGCAGGGGAGAAAAGCCAGCAAAGGGGCUCUAGGUGGUGGGCACCUCCAGAGACAGGCCAAGCUGGACCCCUCCUCCCAGAAGCUGCCACUGCCACCACCAGGCCACCGCUGGGCCUUCUGGAGGGAGUUGUGGGGCACAGGAUGCAGUGCUGCGCCCCACUCGCCCUGGGCCCCAAGCCCUCCAAGGUCUGGCACAAGGCAGAGCCCUCAACCUGGCCACUUUUUUUUUUUUUUUUUAAGGGCCGCACCUGCGGCAUAUGGACAUUCCCAGGCUAGGGGUCAAAUCAGAGCUACAGCUGCUGGCCUAUACCACAGCUCACGGCGGUGACCGAUCCUUAACCCACUGAGCGAGGCCAGGGAUCAAACCCGCAUCCGCAUGGAUCCUAGUUGGGUUUGUUACCUGCUGAGCCACAAAGGGAACUCCUCUCCCCAACUUUUGAGCGUCACUCACCCACCUGUCUUCCCUUGGGUCUGCAUCAGCCUGGCCCUGACCUUCUUCUGCAGAAAUCCCCCCAGCCUCCUGGGCAGCAGCGGCAGAAGGCUGUCGAGUACAGGGCUGGCUCCCCCCAACUUUCAUGUCCCUGUUGAAGACGGUGGAUGGCGUGACGAACCAGCCCCUGGAUGUGUCUGUCAAGGUCACCAUCGGCAACUCUGAGGUGUCUGGGGUGCAGGAGGAAGGGAGGUGCCUGCGCUCGGGUGGGGGCGGUGCCAGCCCCUGCUUCCCAGAAACCUGUGCUCCUAGGUAUGGUUUCAGCCCCUGAGCCUCUGUUGUUGCUCUUCCCAUCUGUUUCUCCUGCCAGUUUCAAAAGAAAAGAGAUCUGAGCCUCCUCCUCAAGCCUGGCCUCUUGGCAUCGUAGUCCAACGCCCAUCACCCCGGAGAGAACAGAAGCCGGUUGAGCACAGCUCGGUAACUCUUGGCCUCCUGCUUGCAUCAGCAGCAUGGCCGGCUUUGUGAAGCCCACCUACCCGCUGUCCUCCUUUGUCCCAGACCCUGCUCAGAACCUCAAAGCCCAGCAGCAGAACCUGGUCCCCUUCCUGGAAUCAGACUAUGACCGGCUGAUGCAGCAAUAGGCCCUGCAUCCCGUGCGUGUCACCCGCACCCAGAGGCGGCUCCAGACACCCAGUUCCUGCCCGUGCCUUUCCUUCUCCCACAUCCCGACCAGCUGGCAACACUCCAGGAUGCUCCAGUCGUUAGAAGGGAGUGGACCCGGCGAGGGAAAGAGGAGCAGCAUUGAUUCAAUGCAGCAGGAGCACAGAGAUGAGCCCAAAUCUCGACGAAAGAGGGGCCCUGACGCAGUGCCCCUUUCUCACUUGGCCCCCAGUCCACCGUCCAGUUCCUGGCGGACCACAGACCAGAGGUCACCGUUCUCACCAAGAUCAAAUGUCACGCCGGUCUGUGGUGGGGCAUCAGCCCUGCCAACCGGGCAGCAAUGGUCCAGGAGCUCGCCAAUGCCACGGCCAGCUCCAUCGCCGCGUCCUGGACCGUUCAGAGGUAACCUGGCACCACCCGAACCCACAGCCCUCUGAGCUCCCCGGCUCUUUGCGAGACUUCCAGGUAAACAUCAGGACCUUCCGAGUCCACAGCAGCAGAAAAGUGUAAGGACUAACCUUGAAUGAGGACCGCGUGGCUGUCAGGUACCGUGUGCGUCCAUCCUGCCUUCCUCUUCUCUCCUCUCUCUGUCCAAAAAAAAAAAA